rnacentral:rRNA from 1 species
ACUUAAAUUGAAGAGUUUGAUCAUGGCUCAGAUUGAACGCUGGCGGCAGGCCUAACACAUGCAAGUCGAACGGUAGCACAGAGAGCUUGCUCUCGGGUGACGAGUGGCGGACGGGUGAGUAAUGUCUGGGAAACUGCCCGAUGGAGGGGGAUAACUACUGGAAACGGUAGCUAAUACCGCAUAACGUCGCAAGACCAAAGAGGGGGACCUUCGGGCCUCUUGCCAUCAGAUGUGCCCAGAUGGGAUUAGCUAGUUGGUGAGGUAACGGCUCACCAAGGCGACGAUCCCUAGCUGGUCUGAGAGGAUGACCAGCCACACUGGAACUGAGACACGGUCCAGACUCCUACGGGAGGCAGCAGUGGGGAAUAUUGCACAAUGGGCGCAAGCCUGAUGCAGCCAUGCCGCGUGUAUGAAGAAGGCCUUCGGGUUGUAAAGUACUUUCAGCGAGGAGGAAGGCGUUGUGGUUAAUAACCACAGCGAUUGACGUUACUCGCAGAAGAAGCACCGGCUAACUCCGUGCCAGCAGCCGCGGUAAUACGGAGGGUGCAAGCGUUAAUCGGAAUUACUGGGCGUAAAGCGCACGCAGGCGGUUUGUUAAGUCAGAUGUGAAAUCCCCGGGCUCAACCUGGGAACUGCAUUUGAAACUGGCAAGCUUGAGUCUCGUAGAGGGGGGUAGAAUUCC